AGGGUGAAGGGGUUGCAAUAAACUGGUGGCUGCGACUGUUUAAUAAAAACACAGCACUCUGCAAACACGAAAGUGGACGUAUAGGGUGUGACGCCUGCCCGGUGCCGGAAGAUUAAAUGAUGGGGUGCAAGCUCUUGAUUGAAGUCCCGGUAAACGGCGGCCGUAACUAUAACGGUCCUAAGGUAGCGAAAUUCCUUGUCGGGUAAGUUCCGACCUGCACGAAUGGCGUAACGAUGGCCACACUGUCUCCUCCCGAGACUCAGCGAAGUUGAAGUGUUUGUGAUGAUGCAAUCUACCCGCGGCUAGACGGAAAGACCCCAUGAACCU
rnacentral:rRNA from 1 species